UCCCUUUUCUUCACAGCCUCAUCAGCAUUUGUUAUUGCCUGUCUUUUGGAUACAAGCCAUUUUAACUGCGCUUCAAUUUCUUCACUUGUUAGUCUGUUCAGGCUUUGGAUUUCUUCCUGGUUCAAUCUCGGUAAGACUUGCCUUGCUUCCCCUUUACCUUCCACCAUGAUUGUAAGUUUCCUGAGGCUCUCCAACCCAUACGGAACAGCACAGGACAAGGUGUCAUCAGUUGGGAAACAUUUGAAUUUGUCUCUGCCUGGUGCCUAUUGACAUCUUAAAUUGGAACCACUUUAAAUUCAACGUAUGGCCACAGAUGUUUUGGACCACUUAUAUUAAAUAAGUCAGUCAAAACUGAAGAUCAGCUUUUGAUCAUGAAGAGGAGAUUAGGUCACAGAUGUUCAAUAAGGAAAGACCAUGUGAAGACACAAGAAGAUGGUCAUCUGCAAGCCAAGAGAAAUGUCUCAAAAGGAACUGGCCCUGCUGACAUCUUGACCUUGAAUUUCCAGCCUCAGGUUCUUGGAUGCUUGAUGGAAUUAAGGAUUUGAGAACAUGAGAACAAACAGGAAUAUGCAGGAAAUCUUGAGGACACAGGAGAUGAAGUCAACCUGUGGCCAAGGGAGAGGGAGGGACAUGAGAAGCUUUGUGAAAGAUGUCAGCGCAAACCUCAGGCAAGUGCCACCCAACCUAGAGCUGUGGAUUGAAGUUUGGCGUUGGGGUGUCAGCCUGUGAUUUCCUGAUCUCCAACUCCACUCCUCUUAAGUCACCCAGCCUAAGGCACUGAACCUCAUCAUCAGA
rnacentral:lncRNA from 1 species